GCCUGCCCCCCGUUCUCCCCCCGCUCCCCACCAGGCUCGCGGGAAGGUCCGGAAGUGCCGCCCCCGGGAGCCGCCAGCGCCAGGUGACAAGUUACAUCUGUGGAACACAACCAGUAAUUUAACAGGUUUAAUGAGUGUAGUUGCUAUGACUGCUACAACUUGCCAGCUGGCUAAAGAUGAAAUGUAUUUCAACACAAGCAAUUGGUAACAUUUUGAAUUUCAGGAACCUUGCCCUUAAAAUAACUUUCUUGUGUGACCGGGGGGAGUGAGGGCAAUGCUUUUCCUGUGAUCAGGGUUAGAAAUGCUGUCUGCAGGUAGUCAGCCUGUGUUUCCUGGAACAACAGUCCUUCUCCAGCAGCUCUGAAGAUGCCUGCACUGUGGGAUGAGGUAGUAGGUUGUAUAGUUUUAGGGUCAUACCCACAACUGGGAGAUAACUAUACAAUCUACUGUCUUUCCUAAAGCAGCAGAAAAUCAACAAUGGAAACUUCUCAAUUUUAAGCUCAGUGUCAGAUUCUACUGAAAUACUGUACUUGUAAUGCUUAUGAUGGGAGAAAAUACUUCUGUAAUAGCUGGGGGGAGUUGUGUUUAGAUUCUUCUGGUUCUUGGAAAAGCUGGGUUAGCAUUCUGCAUUAAUUUUUCUCCUCUAAUGAGUAAAAAAGUGAAGAAUAGACUGAUUUCUAUGUAAGUGUGGUGGGGUAAUCAAAUAGAAAUUCCUGAUGUUCCAGUUGUUGUGGUGUUUAACGUUGCGAAGUGAAGUAUCAGCCAUCCCUUAGAGUGGACCUGUGGUUGGCUGGCUGAGCUCUUUGCUGAAGGCUGUGCUUCUCUGUCAGAGUGAGGUAGUAGAUUGUAUAGUUGUAGGGUAGUUAUUUUACCCUGUUCAGGAGAUAACUAUACAAUCUAUUGCCUUCCCUGAGGAGUAAAACAAACUGCGACCCUUUGCAGUCAGUGAUGCUGUGAAAAUACUCGUGGAGUAAAAACAGAUAAAUUCAGACUUGUAAAGGAGCAGAUAAAUCAGUGCCAGAAUGUGCAGGAUUGACAAUCCUUGUGAAUGGUGCAACCCCCAAAUGAUAUAUUUGACUAACAUGACUUUUCUUCCAAGGUGAGUGGCACAGUGCUGGCUGGAGAUGGAAAAUACCCCUGUUCCUACACAGAGAGUGGAACACUCCAUAGAGGGGAAAUGAUUCCAAACCAUUUGGGGUUUGAAUGUAAAAUACAGGCAGCUCAAACUUGUACAUUGUGACUUAAACUGUUCUAACACCCCAAUUUCUAUAAUGCAUUAAAAUUCUGUGUCUCCCAACUGCUUGGUAAAAGUUGGAGGGAAAACUUAUUAAUAAGUCUACUUGUUUUUCUCCAACUCAAUUUAACACAAAAUCAAAGUGUUGGCCACUUUUGACCAAAACUGACCUCUCACCUUUUUGGGGGAGUGUAAACCUAUGGAGUUUGAGCAUCCAAGAGCCAGAACUUUUCUCCAAGGUGGUUGUUGUCUUACAAAAAGACUUUUCAAGCUUACUGCAUUCUUUUCCUCCUGCAGUCCUACAUGUACCCAGUUUCUGCUGCUGCACUGGUGUGCCCAGUGAGCCCCUUGCUAUAGCAACAAAAAAACCAUGGAAAUGCUCUUUGGGAUGGCAAGUUUAGGUUAGUCAGAGUGAAAAUGGAGCCAUUCAUGAGUGGUAAAACCGGUCAACCACUGCUUGGUAAGUGCUGACAGUGUAAACUUGAAAUAUGUGCCCAGGCCUAAGAGGCAGAAGACCCAAAGCAGCUGGUGAGCUAAAGCACUUCACAGAGCAGCUGCUGAGUGAGAAGAACUGCAAAAAGGAAGCAUUGGGCUCCUAGGAAGAGGUAGUAGGUUGCAUAGUUUUAGGGCAGGGAUUUUGCUCACAAGGAGGUAACUAUACAACCUGCUGCCUUUCUUAGGGCUUUAUUAUAACACCGGGACCAGUUUGGCUCCAGCCUACAAACCUCUGCAGCUCUGGCACGUGGAGACAAAGGACAAGGUGUUUCCAAGCAUGUUGAGGCUUAAUGAGGCCUGUGUGUUGGCAACUUUGGUCCCAAACUGAAGUGUAGAUCUGAUAGCUGGAAUGCAGCAUGGUGGAAUACUGCAUUUUGGGGACACUGGGCUGGGAUAUCCUUGGAUUGUGGUGAGUAAGAGGCUGUGUUGGGAAGCCAACUCCUUCCAGAGGAAGCUGGAGUCCCCCUGUGAUUAGGAUGGAGGUGGUAUGAAGUUGUGAACAUUGAGAUGCUGAUCCUGUGUGCUCACAAGGGAGCUAAACCACCCCUUCCUUUGGCUCGGUGCAUUUCAGGUGGAAAAGCCUCCGGUUUUCCUUACCCAAAAGAACAAGAUCCCAGCUCACUUGAAAGCUGGUGCUUUCUCAGCAGGCAUAGGCACUCCUAGGAAAACAAGUUCUCAGUGGUGGAUUAUUUGCAGUCUUGCAGAAGGGAAGUUUUCAGUUAAAAAUGAUGGUUUGUCUCUCAUGGAAUUAUUAACAAUGAGUCCAUAUUUUUUUGCACUGCAGCAAUAGUUCAGGGAACUGUGGGAUACAGAGACUUUAACUGCUGAGCACCUUGUAGCAGGAAUAUGUUGUGCCUCCACCAGCCACUACUUAAACUUUGGCAAAUCAGAAUCCUAGAUGAUAAACAUGUUACCAUGCUUAUAUUGAACAUCCUGUAUGAAUUUAACUGUACGUUUUUGAUUUAGUUAAUAAAAUACAGCAUUUUGUGCAA